UAGGGAAUCUUCGGCAAUGGACGGAAGUCUGACCGAGCAACGCCGCGUGAGUGAAGAAGGUUUUCGGAUCGUAAAGCUCUGUUGUUAGAGAAGAACGUUGGUAGGAGUGGAAAAUCUACCAAGUGACGGUAACUAACCAGAAAGGGACGGCUAACUACGUGCCAGCAGCCGCGGUAAUACGUAGGUCCCGAGCGUUGUCCGGAUUUAUUAGGCGUAAAGCGAGCGCAGGCGGUUCUUUAAGUCUGAAGUUAAAGGCAGUGGCUUAACCAUUGUACGCUUUGGAAACUGGAGGACUUGAGGGCAGAAGGGGAGAGUGGAAUUCCAUGUGUAGCGGUGAAAUGCGUAGAUAUAUGGAGGAACACCGGUGGCGAAAGCGGCUCUCUGGUCUGUAACUGACGCUGAGGCUCGAAAGCGUGGGGAGCAAACAGG
rnacentral:rRNA from 1 species